AGGACAAACGCUGGCGGAAUGUAUUAGGCAUGCAAGUCGUACGAACCUUCGGGUUAGUGGCGAACGGGUGAGUAACACGUGGGUAACCUGCCUCGUAGUGGGGAAUAACUCGCCGAAAGGCGAGCUAAUACCGCAUAACACCUCUGGUGAGAUUCCAGAUGGUAAAAGCUCCGGCGCUACGAGAGGGGCCCGCGGUCGAUUAGCUAGUUGGUGGGGUAACGGCCUACCAAGGCGACGAUCGAUAGCUGGUCUGAGAGGAUGGUCAGCCACACGGGGACUGAGAUACGGCCCGACUCCACGGGAGGCAGCAGCUAAGAAUCUUGCGCAAUGGGCGAAAGCCUGACGCAGCAAUUCCGCGUGGGGACGAAGGCCUUCGGGUCCGUAAACCCUUUGCGAGGAAGAAGUACUAGACGGUACCUCGCGAAAUAAGACACGGACUAACACGUGCCAGCAGCCCG
rnacentral:rRNA from 1 species